rnacentral:rRNA from 1 species
UACGGAGGGUGCAAGCGUUAAUCGGAAUUACUGGGCGUAAAGCGCACGUAGGCGGCUUUGUAAGUCAGAGGUGAAAGCCCGGAGCUUAACUCCGGAAUUGCCUUUGAGACUGCAUCGCUUGAAUCCAGGAGAGGUGAGUGGAAUUCCGAGUGUAGAGGUGAAAUUCGUAGAUAUUCGGAAGAACACCAGUGGCGAAGGCGGCUCACUGGACUGGUAUUGACGCUGAGGUGCGAAAGCGUGGGGAGCGAACAGG